rnacentral:rRNA from 1 species
CACGUAGUUAGCCGGGGCUUUCUUCUCAGGUACCGUCACCCUCAGGGCAGUUACUCCCCAAGGCGUUCUUCCCUGGCAACAGAGCUUUACGAUCCGAAAACCUUCAUCACUCACGCGGCGUUGCUCCGUCAGACUUGCGUCCAUUGCGGAAGAUUCCCUACUGCUGCCUCCCGUAGGAGUCUGGGCCGUGUCUCAGUCCCAGUGUGGCCGAUCACCCUCUCAGGUCGGCUACGCAUCGUCGCCUUGGUGAGCCGUUACCCCACCAACUAGCUAAUGCGCCGCAGGCCCAUCUGUAAGCCACAGCUUGCACCGUGUUUCAUAACCGCAUCAUGCGACGCGGUUAGUUAUCCGGUCUUAGCUACCGUUUCCGGUAGUUAUCCCGAUCUUACAGGCAGGUUGCCUACGUGUUACUCACCCGUCCGCCGCUAACCCCGAAGGGUCCGCUCGACUUGCAUGUAUUAGGCACGCCGCCAGCGUUCGUCCUCGUAGCCACGGAGUCAACUAC